GAGCUUAUCUCGGCUCAAAUUCGAUUUAAAAUUUAUUUCAAGUCUAAAUUUAAGUUCAAAUUUGGAUUGAAAUUAAUUCGAGCCGAGCUCGAGCGAGCCUAAUUUCGAGUCGAGUGAGCUCGAGCCCUAAACAAGCUGCUUAAAAUUCUCAACAUCAUACAAUCAAUGGUUUAAUUUGUAUAGAAUAUUAUCUAUAAUUUGAUACAAAAAUAUGUCUAAUAGUUCAAAGUACAAAAUAAUUAUAUGAAAUAUAUAUAAUAUUAUAAUAUGGAGAAAAAUAAUUUAUGAGUUAAAUAUCUAAUCUUUUCAGCGUCACAUGUCUUUUCUUCCGCCUUCAAUCUUUAUAUUAUUCAUUUUUAUUUAUGCGGUCNCUAAUCUUUUCAGCCUCACAUGUCUUUUCUUCCGCCUUCAAUCUUUAUAUUAUUCAUUUUUAUUUAUGCGGUCAAAAAUAAAUAAAUUAUAUAGAUAAAUAUUGAAUUAAACUAUCCAAUCAUAUAAACUAAAAUUAAAAUUUUAUAUAAAUAAUAAUUUUUUACUUUAAAAAUAUUCUAUAUAUUUUCUCAAGCAUACAAUUAAUAGCAAGGUAGGCGACGGCGGGCAUAUACUGUUACUUGGUAAUUUGGAGGGCUUCCGGUUUUGCCACAGACAGAAAAAGAAAAAGAGAGAAACAUAUUGAAAAUUUAGAGUUCUGUGAAAGAAAGAAAGAAAGUAAAAAUAUAUAAAUUUAGUAAAAUUUUGAUCUUUUAUUUGUCUAUUGAGUUUGUUUUUAUGGGCCAACAACAUUGGCCUUCGAUAAUUAAUAUUCCUUUUUUUAUCAAUUCUGUAAGAGCUAGAUCUUUCUGAAUUAGCAUUACAUCCAGAUGCAUCUCUCCUCUUUGAAUCGCGGAUAUAGCAAUUUCCUUUGGAUUUAUCAGUCUAAGUAAGAGACAAUAUACCUUGAUAUUAUUGAUCAUUCUUUGGUUCAAGGAGUCAUCCCAUCUUAAUUGAAAAAGGAAAUAUUUUUUAAGGAAGAAAUCUAGUUCUGCUUCCUUGUUUUUCUUGGAUUGUUUUUUCUUUUUACCUUUUUUAAUGGUAAUGUCUGAUCUCGCGUAAUUCUCUUCAAUAUCUUUUUUUUUGUUUUCUUUUCGUAUAUCUGAUACAAAAUUUACUUGGUCCUGUUGUUCAUUUUUUUG
rnacentral:lncRNA from 1 species